GGUGAGGUGUCCGAGUGGCUGAAGGAGCACGCCUGGAAAGUGUGUAUACGGUAACGUAUCCGGGGUUCGAAUCCCCGCCUCACCGCCA
rnacentral:tRNA from 4 species